GUGUGUAUAUGUAUGCAUAAGAGGUUACAUAAGGUUGGAAGAGGAUUAGAAGUUAAACGAAAUGAAUCGGAACAACUUCAGUAAAAUUUCGGACCCGAUUUUAGUCUAUAUUGUAGGAGGCAUAUCUCCUUGAAUAUGAGGAGUUUUAAGGUGUUUCAAAAGCUUAAAAUGAAGUUCAUCGAGUCUAGUUUGUAAUGCAACAAACCGCUCGUCAAAAUGAUAUCGGGAUAAGGAGAUAUGGACGAUGCAAGUUGGGCUGGCAGGGCAGCAAGUUUGGACCCGACCCAAACACUCACAUUUCGGCCCAUGAGGCCCAUUAAACUCAAUAGAUAAGUCACCACUUUGCCCUAUAUCAUUUCACACGACCUAAAACAGAUCCAAAACCCUUAUUUUCUCUCCCAAACCCCCUUUCUAAUUGAGCCAUCAUGUAAGCUAAAUCCUAGACCCUUGACAUGAUAUUAGUUAAAGAGAAGUUGUAGCUUAAGUUUUUUUUUGUGUUGUUAAGCAAGCAGCUGGAAAGAGAAACAAGAUUCUUGAAGAUUCUGAUUGCUAAAGGAAACGUUGAUAUACAAGCUAGAGAGAGAGAGAGAGCAUAAGCCAUGGCAUUCGGGCAUGGCUAGCAAAAUUGGAGCUCAAAUUUGUUGAUCCAAAAAUCAGAUUUUCUAGGUAUUUCAGCCCUUAGGAAGGUGAUAAUAACGUGGAGAAUUCAUUUGGAGCAACAAGAACAAGUAUUAGUUCAUUUCACAAAUUCUAGCUAAGUGGAAAAAGCCAACUUGUUAAGACCUUGGGGAGCCCGAGGCGUAGAUUGGGAUUUACUUUAGAUUGGCUAUCUUGGAGUGCGUACGAGGUAUGUAAAGCGCAACCCUUCUUUCUUUUGGCAUGCCUUAGUUUGUAUAGGCUAGAUUAUAAGCCUUAAGGAAAUUCUAAAUUCGAAAUCCGAGCAUGUUAUGAUCCGUAUAUGUUCCUUGGCACUCUUAUGUAUGAUUUGAUGAAAUAUGAACCUUUAUGUAUUUGAAAUAAUCGCUUUCCGAACUUUGCGCAAAGAGGUUUCACUUUAAAGAACUUCGAAAUUUCCGAAUGCCAUAUCUUUCACAUAAGUGCUCGGAUUGCUCCAAUAUAUUUUUAUAAAAGUUUGCAUUACGUAUAACGAGUAUGUUUUCCAUAAGCGGGCCCGACUUGGGUAAAUUCCCGUCCGUGGGUCCCGCGGCUUCCCUUUAUGAAAUUCGGGAGCGUUUGAAAGAAUUUGUUAAGACUAUUAUUUCGAUUUUCAAAUAUGAUCAUUUUGCUUAUGUUUGAAUUUAUGAUAUUGAUUUUAUGCAUAUGACUACUCACGACUCUAUUCGUGCGUUCUGUUAUAUCUUUCGCCGGUUCCCGGGCCGGUUCUGUUAUCGUGCUCAUUUUGAUAUACUCCGGAGUUAUGCUGUGUUAUGGUUCUCCGAGCUACUCGCUAAUGAGGGUCGGGUUCCACCUAUAUUUGGUGUUAUGCUGUGUAUGGCGUUAUGUUGUGAUGUGAUAUGUGACGGGGAUACGGAGAUUUGAAACUUUCUGGUGUUAUGCUGUGUUAUGGCGCCAUCGACGGGUGGGCGACCAUAUUCUUCUGUACCCUAUGCAUUACUUACAUAUUUUCGAAAGUAAGCAAAUUUUGAUAUGUUGGAUUUGCACUUAUGUUUGGUACUUCCAUUUCGUUUAUGACUCAGAUUUGCUUUCUGUAUAUUCUGCUUUGCAUACUCAGUACAUAUUUCGUACUGACCCCCUUUCUUCGGGGGCUGCGUUUCAUGCCCGCAGGUACAGACGCACAGUUUGGUGAUCUACCCAUUUAGGACACCCUCUUCUGCUGUUUGGAGUGCUCUUCUCAUUUCAGAGCACACAUUUUGGUAUAUAUUCGUUCGCUAUGUAUAUAUGUAUUUGUUCAGGGGCACGGCGGGGCCCUGUCCCGCCAUAUGAUUCGAUUUGUCUGUUUAGAGGUCUGUAGACGUAUUUGUGGGUAUGUGUGCCUACUUCUGUUCAGAUGCGUUUGUAUGACCCUAUUCGUUAUGGCAGCCUUGUCGGCGUGCAUUUUGUA